CGGUAGAGCAUCGCCUUGCCAAGGCGAGGGUCGCGGGUUCGAUCCCCGUCUUCCGCU
rnacentral:tRNA from 1 species